UACGGAGGGUGCAAGCGUUAUCCGGAUUCACUGGGUUUAAAGGGUGCGUAGGCGGGCAGGUAAGUCAGUGGUGAAAUCUCCGAGCUUAACUCGGAAACUGCCAUUGAUACUAUUUGUCUUGAAUAUUGUGGAGGUAAGCGGAAUAUGUCAUGUAGCGGUGAAAUGCUUAGAUAUGACAUAGAACACCAAUUGCGAAGGCAGCUCACUACACUAUCAUUGACGCUGAGGCACGAAAGCGUGGGGAUCAAACAGG
rnacentral:rRNA from 1 species